rnacentral:rRNA from 1 species
AGUCGAGCGGGCGUAGCAAUACGUCAGCGGCAGACGGGUGAGUAACGCGUGGGAACGUACCUUUUGGUUCGGAACAACACAGGGAAACUUGUGCUAAUACCGAAUAAGCCCUUACGGGGAAAGAUUUAUCGCCGAAAGAUCGGCCCGCGUCUGAUUAGCUAGUUGGUGAGGUAACGGCUCACCAAGGCGACGAUCAGUAGCUGGUCUGAGAGGAUGAUCAGCCACAUUGGGACUGAGACACGGCCCAAACUCCUACGGGAGGCAGCAGUGGGGAAUAUUGGACAAUGGGCGCAAGCCUGAUCCAGCCAUGCCGCGUGAGUGAUGAAGGCCCUAGGGUUGUAAAGCUCUUUUGUGCAGGAAGAUAAUGACGGUACCGCAAGAAUAAGCCCCGGCUAACUUCGUGCCAGCAGCCGCGGUAAUACGAAGGGGGCUAGCGUUGCUCGGAAUCACUGGGCGUAAAGGGUGCGUAGGCGGGUCUUUAAGUCAGGGGUGAAAUCCUGGAGCUCAACUCCAGAACUGCCUUUGAUACUGAGGAUCUUGAGUUCGGGAGAGGUGAGUGGAACUGCGAGUGUAGAGGUGAAAUUCGUAGAUAUUCGCAAGAACACCAGUGGCGAAGGCGGCUCACUGGCCCGAUACUGACGCUGA